rnacentral:rRNA from 1 species
UACGAAGGGGGCUAGCGUUGCUCGGAAUCACUGGGCGUAAAGGGUGCGUAGGCGGGUCUUUAAGUCAGGGGUGAAAUCCUGGAGCUCAACUCCAGAACUGCCUUUGAUACUGAGGAUCUUGAGUUCGGGAGAGGUGAGUGGAACUGCGAGUGUAGAGGUGAAAUUCGUAGAUAUCGGGAGGAACACCAGUGGCGAAGGCGGCGAUCUGGACAGAUAUUGACGCUGAGGUGCGAAAGCGUGGGGAGCAAACAGG